rnacentral:lncRNA from 1 species
GCUUUCUUCACCUCAGUGUAGUUUUCCAUCACCUGUCAAGAGCACAUUUGGAGAGAGCAAUGGAGAAAACCAGCCUGUUGUGUUCAAGAAUUGGGGAUUUACUGCAAAAUGAUGGUUGAGACUUAGAGCAGCCGUGAACAGGGCAGUGCUGUGGGACUGAGGAGGCAGGAGAGGGGACAAAGACAAAGAGUUUGUGUUUGGCAAGAAAGGGUCUGGGCUAAACCUGUGUGCGAGGUUUCAACCCUGAGACACUUUAAGUAUAGCCUGGAGGUCUUCUUGCUUUUCUGGAAAACGCUGCUGCCUGGGCUGUUAGAAACAAAAUAAUUUCUUUCUUUGUUUCCUUGAGGCAGUAAAAUUCAAUGUUGUCUCCACUGUUGAGCAGGACUGUGCCCAAGCUGGAGAAAACUUUGUUUGUUCUAAACUAAAAAUGAUCUAAAUUUUCAGAGGUUAUUUAAUUAACUUAUUUAAGACUGAAUAUUUUACAGCUCUCUGGAGUAAAAAGAACAUCUGUGAAAGUAAAGAUGCAAGCAAUGAUCUUGGAGUAUAUUGCCAAUUCCAACUGAGAAAUCUCAGGGAGUCAAUUACAGUCUUGAAAUUCUAGAACAUGCAAUCCACACUUCAGAAAUAGGGUUUAAUUUGAAUCUUUUCCUGCUGCAGGAGGCUGUAAAUAUCACAUGGAGUUGCUAAUGAAUGAGACAUGAUGAAAAUGGGAGAAUGGAUUUUAAUCCUCAAAAAAAACCCACCAGAAAUUUGGGUAUUUCAUAACCCAAGCAUUCCCUGGGGACACCAUACUCCUGUUCCUUGGAAUGGCACCUGGAUUUCGGGGCUGCAGCUGCCUUGAGCAAGCUUUUUUUCCUGCUUUUUCUCUGCUGAAUAUUCACAGGUGUCAAGGAUGAAAGGAACGUAAUUCAGCAGAUUCCUUUGGAGCAGCAGUUGUUCUCCUAGCUGACAGAAGGACCAGAAAAAUUGGUAAGAAAACUUCUUCUCUUAACUGGAAAGUGUGUCUUCAAUUCUCUCCCUUUCUCUUUUUUUCUUUUUUUUUUUUUUUUUUUUUUAAUUCGCUACAUUAAUAAUCUGAAAAUGCAUAUUGGGACUUUUGAUGGUGAAGUGUUGAACAGAUAAAACAGGUA